AUCAGCAGCCAUAUCACCCUGCAACUCACAACUAAAGCUCAGCAGGUGUGAGCCUGGUCAGUACCUGGAUGGGAGACUUCCUGGGAAAAACAAAGGUUGCUUCUGGAA
rnacentral:rRNA from 1 species